GGAGAGAUGGCCGAGUGGUCGAAGGCGGUAGACUCGAAAUCUAUUGUGGCGGCAACGUCACCGGGGGUUCGAAUCCCUCUCUCUCCGCUA
rnacentral:tRNA from 1 species